rnacentral:rRNA from 1 species
CCUACGGGGGGCAGCAGUCGAGAAUUUUUCACAAUGGGCGCAAGCCUGAUGGAGCGACGCCGCGUGGGGGAUGAAUGGCUUCGGCCCGUAAACCCCUGUCAUUUGCGAACAAACCGCCCUAUUUAAAAGAUGAGGCGCUGAUUGUAGCGAAAGAGGAAGGGACGGCUAACUCUGUGCCAGCAGCCGCGGUAAUACAGAGGUCCCAAGCGUUGUUCGGAUUCACUGGGCGUAAAGGGUGCGUAGGUGGUUGGGUAAGUCUGAGGUGAAAUCUCCGAGCUCAACUCGGAAACUGCCUUGGAUACUAUCCAGCUCGAGGGUUGGAGGGGGGACUGGAAUUCUCGGUGUAGCAGUGAAAUGCGUAGAUAUCGAGAGGAACACCAGUGGCGAAGGCGAGUCCCUGGACAACUCCUGACGCUGAGGCACGAAAGCUAGGGGAGCAA